UGGGCCCGGCACCAGCAGCGGGUGUGAGCGGUGGCUCGCCAGCAUCAGGUGCAAGCGCCGGGUGGGACUGUGGAGCGCAGGAGCAAAGAAUUUUCAGUACCCCCCAGAGGCUC